GCGCCCGUAGCUCAAUUGGAUAGAGCGUUGGCCUCCGGAGCCAGAGGUUGGGCGUUCGAGCCGCCCCGGGCGCGCCA
rnacentral:tRNA from 1 species